rnacentral:rRNA from 1 species
GAUGAACGCUGGCGGCGUGCCUAAUACAUGCAAGUCGAGCGAACGGACGAGAAGCUUGCUUCUCUGAUGUUAGCGGCGGACGGGUGAGUAACACGUGGAUAACCUACCUAUAAGACUGGGAUAACUUCGGGAAACCGGAGCUAAUACCGGAUAAUAUUUUGAACCGCAUGGUUCAAAAGUGAAAGACGGUCUUGCUGUCGCUUAUAGAUGGAUCCGCGCUGCAUUAGCUAGUUGGUAAGGUAACGGCUUACCAAGGCAACGAUGCAUAGCCGACCUGAGAGGGUGAUCGCCCACACUGGAACUGAGACACGGUCCAGACUCCUACGGGAGGCAGCAGUAGGGAAUCUUCCGCAAUGGGCGAAAGCCUGACGGAGCAACGCCGCGUGAGUGAUGAAGGUCUUCGGAUCGUAAAACUCUGUUAUUAGGGAAGAACAUAUGUGUAAGUAACUGUGCACAUCUUGACGGUACCUAAUCAGAAAGCCACGGCUAACUACGUG